rnacentral:tRNA from 1 species
GGACACAUAGCUCAGAAGGUUAGAGUAUUUCUCUCAUAAAGAAACGGUCGUAGGUUCAAUUCCUACUGUGUCCA